UACGUAGGGCGCGAGCGUUGUCCGGAAUUAUUGGGCGUAAAGAGCUCGUAGGCGGUCUGUUACGUCUGCUGUGAAAACCCUGGGCUUAACCCUGGGCUUGCAGUGGAUACGGGCAGACUAGAGGCAGGUAGGGGAGAAUGGAAUUCCCGAUGUAGCGAUGAAAUGCGCAGAUAUCAGGAGAAACACCAGUGGCGAAGGCGGUUCUCUGGGCCUGACCUGACGCUGAGGAGCGAAAGCGUGGGGAGCGAACAGG
rnacentral:rRNA from 1 species